AGGUAGCAUCCAAAAGAUAAGAUGCCUACCCGAUAUAGUCUUCCUAGAGUAAAAUUGUCAUUUCCUGCUUGUGAUAUUGUAAGCAAGUUCUACAAGUCUCAAGUGACAAGAUAGCUUC
rnacentral:snoRNA from 1 species